UUUCUUUUAUUUAUUUAUAUUAUAUUUAUUUAUUUAUUUUUCAUUUUUCUUCUAGUCCAUGAUUAUCGAAAUCAUAAUCCCGUAACCAGGAAGAAAAGCGAAACAAGUGGACCAGCUUCCAACUAGCAAAUAUACUUGGACAAGUGGUCCAAUGAAUCGACUGUCGUUACCUUCCAUGCACGAUGUUUCGUUUGGAUUAGUUAGUGUUUCGAUGCCCUGUCUUGGACCGCCCAUUAGUUCCAGUCCACUCCUCGUGGAUUAUGGUGUGAAAAUCAAAAUAGUCGGGGUAAUCGAGACUUGUUUGACUGAGGACAUGAAAUCUACAAAUGAUCUUGUCCAUUGAUGGUUUAGAUCAGCCGAUCAGGAUUAUUUUUUCAAGGAAUCCUAUGAUGGUGCACUGGACCUAAUGUAGGGUCUAGCCAGGUGAGGUGGAUGCCAACUGGUCCAAAAAGCGACUUCGUACAGGAAAGUUUAAUCCGGUUAGACCAAUAUACAAUUUCUCAAAAUAUUAAGCAGUCAAAGUGCAUAGAAACGGCCGGCUAAGAAGUAAAAUGUUAGCCAGUGGCAGACAGAAAAAUGGAUAGGCUAUGGGUCUUCUCCUGUAAGAUUUAUCAUGCUAAGCCCAACGGCCUUCAUUGAUGACUAUGGUGCUGGGACUAGUGGUCCAAUUAGGGCACUGGGAGCUUACUCAGCGUCAUAGAAGACUGUUUGUUAAAUAUUUUCGACUCGAAACUCCCUCCAUGUGAUAACAAUUCUCGUAAAAAAAAUAAAAAUAAAAAUAAAAAUCCCUCCAUUUUAUAACAGUCACUUAAAGGCAAAUGGACCCCGCCAGGCUGCUUUCGAGUGGAGUACCUGACUUGUGAUAAUUGAUUGCUACUUGGGACAAAUGUGCAUUGGAUCCACCCAUCCAACAGAUGGAUUGUAACAUUUUCGCUGUAGAUCUUAAAUGUCAGUAAGAGUUGGGGCGGGCCACACACAGGGAACGGUGUAAAGUCAGUGGCCUACAUAGGUCUUGGAAUGUCCUGUUUUCAGGGAUUCAAUUCA